AGCCUGAUCCAGCCAUGCCGCGUGCAGGAAGACUGCCCUAUGGGUUGUAACUGCUUUUAUACGGGAAGAAACCGCUCAAGUGUAGAGCUCUGACGGUACCGUAAGAAUAAGGAUCGGCUAACUCCGUGCCAGCAGCCGCGGUAAUACGGAGGAUCCAAGCGUUAUCCGGAAUCAUUGGGUUUAAAGGGUCCGUAGGUCCCGAUUAAGUCAGAGGUGAAAGUCUGCGGCUCAACCGUAGAAUUGCCUUUGAUACUGGU
rnacentral:rRNA from 1 species